AGUGCGUGACGCAUCAGGAGCGUAUAAAAGCUCGCGGCUGCCGUUAUGAGGCCCUCUUGAAGUCGUUGCUUCGCUUGUGGAGGAACGCUUCCAACAUGAGAGCGAAGUGGAGAAAGAAGCGUAUGCGCAGGCUGAAGCGUAAAAGGAGAAAGAUGAGGCAGAGGUCUAAGUAAACUGCACCCUGUCUGCUGCAGCUGGAUUCCAUCCUGAUCAUCUCGGAUUUUCCCUCAGCAAGAGUCUUGCAAAGAGCGACUGAAGAGGUUCCCUUCAUCUACCCUGAAUGAAGCCAGACACUUCUGACAGUGGGAUCUUCAUCACCUGGCUGCUCAGUUGCCUCUUGGGUUUUGAUGGCCUUGCGAACUCUCUUUGGACAUUCCAGACAACUCCAGCUCAGCAUGUUUUUGUUAAUACCUCCAAUAAAAUCUGUUUUAAAAACGUA